AAUGAACGCUGGCGGCAUGCCUUACACAUGCAAGUCGAACGGUAACAGGUCUUCGGAUGCUGACGAGUGGCGAACGGGUGAGUAAUACAUCGGAACGUGGCUAGUAGCUGGGGAUAAAUACUCGAAAGAGUGGCUAAUACCGCAUUAGAUCUACGGAUGACAGCAGGGGAUCGCGAGACCUUGUGCUACUAGAGCGGCCGAUGGCAGAUUAGGUAGUUGGUGGGAUAAAAGCUUACCAAGCCGCCGAUCUGUAGCUGGUCCGAGAGGACGAUCGGCCACACUGGGACCGUGACACGGCCCAGACUCCUACGGGAGGCAGCAGUGGGGAAUUUUGGACAAUGGGCGCAAGCCUGAUCCAGCAAUGCCGCGUGCAGGAUGAAGGCCUUCGGGUUGUAAACUGCUUUUGUACGGAACGAAAAGCCCCGGGUUAAUACCCUGGGGUCAUGACGGUACCGUAAGAAUAAGCACCGGCUAACUACGUGCCAGCAGCCGCCGUAA
rnacentral:rRNA from 1 species